rnacentral:rRNA from 1 species
GACGAACGCUGGCGGCGUGCCUAAUACAUGCAAGUCGAGCGGGCCUCCGGAGGUGCUUGCACCUCCGGAAGGCCAGCGGCGGACGGGUGAGUAACACGUGGGCAACCUGCCUUUGAGGCCGGGAUAACACCGGGAAACCGGUGCUAAUACCGGAUGCGUCCCCUUUCGCGCCUGCGAGAGGGGAGAAAGACGGUCUUUAAGGCCGUCGCUCAAAGAGGGGCCCGCGGGGCAUUAGCUGGUUGGUGGGGUAAGGGCCUACCAAGGCGACGAUGGGUUGCCGACCUGAGAGGGUGAUCGGCCACACGGGGACGGAGACACGGCCCAGACUCCUGCGGGAGGCAGCAGUAGGGAAUCAUCCGCAAGGGGCGAAAGCCUGACGGUGCAACGCCGCGUGAGUGAGGAAGGUUUUCGGAUCGUAAAGCUCUGUUGUGAGGGAAGAACAGCUUCCGGAGGAAAUGCCGGAGGUUUGCCGGUACCUCACCAGAAAGCCCCGGCUAACUACGUGCCAGCCGCCGCGGUAA